ACGCAUGCACACACAAGCGGGUACUGAGGCACAAACGGCGCACAUUUAAAUGCGCACACACGUACGUUCACACACACCAUCCUAGAACACUGACUGGGCUUAUUGCCAGACCAGUAGACCAGUGCUCAAGCACCUGCAGCUCCCGGGGGCCCUCCGCAGCCCAGCCCCCAGGCUCCAGCCGGGCCCACAGGCAUGCUUCACCCCAAGGCCUCCUAACGGAUUGGUUUCCCCGCAGGCACCCAGCCGCCCCCGCCGGGCACACAGGCUCCCCAGGGCGGGUGGCCGCUCCCCCCGCCCCGCCCCGGGGCCAGGAGCACCCCUGCAUCCCAGGACGGACCUGGAAAGAGACGCGGCUGCAAGAUCCAAGAGCCACGCACAUCUGCACACUCAGAACCGCGCGACUCCGCGAAGCUGGGCGCCGCUGUCAGGCGCUCGAUCUCCCACACGCGGGGCCCCUGUGCACCCGCGGCCGCAGGUGUCUGCGCCCCAGGCCCCGCAGGUCGGCCCUGGGGGUGCGGGGCAGCGGGGCUGCAGGCACGGAGGGCGCCGGGACGGUGGCUCCAGCUGCACGCGCGCGCGCACACACGCGCACACACGCGCACACACGCGCACACACGCGCACCCAGCCUGCGGGCCGCCUCUCCAGCCGGUGCCCACGGGGAUCCUCCCCGCCCUCCUCCCCCCCGCCCUCUCCUCCGGCCUCUACCCUCCGCCUCGGGCUCCCCCCUGCCCUCUCCCUCCCGCUCCCCAGCCCGCCGCCCCCGCCGGCUCCCUCCGUCCCCCCACCCUCCUUCCCUCCCCCCCCCGCCCGCCCUCCUCCCGCCGCGGCUCUCCCACGGUGCGGGCCCGGGCUCCUGCACCGCCCCCGCCCCCGCCCCCGCCGCCGCCGCCGCCGCCGCCGCCUCUCCGCCCCCCGCGCGCCCGGAGGAGCCGCAGAGCUAACCCCGCGCGGAGAGGCUCCUGCGCGGCCCGGCCCGGCUCCCGGGCCCACGAGCAGCCGCCGGCCGGGGCCCUCCCGCGGCCCC
rnacentral:lncRNA from 1 species